UACGUAGGGUGCGAGCGUUAAUCGGAAUUACUGGGCGUAAAGCGUGCGCAGGCGGUUCGUUGUGUCGGUGGUGAAAGCCCCGGGCUUAACCUGGGAAUGGCCAUGGAAACUGGCGAACUGGAGUGUGGCAGAGGGGGAUGGAAUUCCGCGUGUAGCAGUGAAAUGCGUAGAUAUGCGGAGGAACACCGAUGGCGAAGGCAAUCCCCUGGGCCUGUACUGACGCUCAUGCACGAAAGCGUGGGGAGCAAACAGG
rnacentral:rRNA from 1 species